rnacentral:rRNA from 1 species
AUUGAACGCUGGCGGCAGGCCUAACACAUGCAAGUCGAGCGGGAACUUCGGUUCUAGCGGCGGACGGGUGAGUAAUGCGUAGGAAGCUACCCGACAGAGGGGGAUACCAGUUGGAAACGACUGUUAAUACCGCAUAAUGUCUACGGACCAAAGUGUGGGACCUUCGGGCCACAUGCUGUCGGAUGCGCCUACGUGGGAUUAGCUAGUUGGUGAGGUAAGGGCUCACCAAGGCGACGAUCCCUAGCUGGUUUGAGAGGAUGAUCAGCCACACUGGAACUGAGACACGGUCCAGACUCCUACGGGAGGCAGCAGUGGGGAAUAUUGGACAAUGGGCGAAAGCCUGAUCCAGCCAAGCCGCGUGUGUGAAGAAGGCCUUCGGGUUGUAAAGCACUUUCAGUAGGGAGGAAGAGUUGAGUGUUAAUAGUACUCAGCUUUGACGUUACCUACAGAAGAAGCACCGGCUAACUCUGUGCCAGCAGCCGCCGUAACAC